AAAAGAUCUAUUGAAGAUAAAGUGUCAAAUUUAACAUCAUCCAAAUAAGAAACAACUAAGUUACUAUACAUAUUCCAAUUCACCUGCUUAUAAUUAGGGGAGAUGAUAACUACUGCCCAGAGGACUGUCAAUAACUGACCAGUCACAUAAAAGAGCCAAUGAUGGAGUUACCAAAGUCAAGUCAAGAGCAUUAGGACGCCAAGAUGGAGAUCCUAUUGUGGUAGCUUGACCAUUAUUCAGAAUAACAAGACCAUUCUCAUCUAUAACCUCUAAAACAUCUUUACCUCGAGGCAAUGUAUCAACACAUCCCCACAACAUGUGAUGAGCAUUGAAAUCACCUGCAAAUAUCAUUGGCUCUGGAAUGGACUUAAUUAAACUGUUUAAAUUGUUUUUAUUAAAUGGAGGAUUUGAAUUGGAAGGACUGUAAAAACUCACAAUACUCA